CUUGGAAUUAAGGUCUAGCAUUACUCAACUUUAACGGUGUUCUAGCUCUUUAUGCUUUCAGUCUAGGAGCAAUACAUCUGCAAAAAAUAAUACCAUUAACAUAAUAUGUUUGUGGUAAAUUUUAUUAUUGAUAAACUUUUUGCUAAAAUGAAUUGGAGAACGUAAUAGUGAUAUAAGUUGAAGUUCAAACUUAAUUGGAACUAAAAUCCGUAUCCACUAAUCUGAUACGUUUACUCUAUUAUUUUUUUAAGAGACCUUAUCAUUGUUUGUGUUCCCAACAACCUCAUGCAAAUACAUACUAAUAGUGUGCAGAGGUUUUCAAAUCCCAAAAGUUGAACUUAUAUAUUUUCUGGGGUUGACCAUUUGGAUAAUACUCCACCACACUACCUGCUAUCUAAAAUACAUCAUUGUUACUUCUUGGAGAAUAGAGCUUAGUAGACAAAUAUCUAAUGCAUAACAGUUGAAUUGAGAAGAACUUUUUUUUUUUUUUUUUUUACUUAUUAUAGAAGAGCCAGUGGAUCGACAUGGCUGUUUUAGGGUAUUAAAGUUCCAAUUAAGGGCAAUUGUGACUUUUAAGAACAAUUUAUAUUACGUGGCAUUGAACCUGCAAUUGGGUUCGCCACGUUUCUCCAUCACACUCGCUGAUGUGGAUGUUCAUCUCUCUUCUUCUCAGAAAACACACCAAGAAAAAUUGAUUUCUCAUUGUGUUCUUAUCUUCUUAUUUUAGGAUAGUUUUCAGAAAAUUCGCAAUUUCAGGCUAUCUCAGCCACUGUCAAGCAAGAUGCGUGCACAUCAUUUCAUGUCUUUGAGCUAUGCUCACGAUGACAAUCCCUUGAAAGCUCUAUCUACCACAGAUGUACUUAUCGGUUAAGAAGAUGGUUAAAUCCAGGUUUAAUUUCGAAGGUGUUGCAGCUCCUGUUCAACUGACCAUCUUUUAAUGCGAGACAAUCAUUGUUUAUGAUAAUAUUUCACAGAACUCAGUCUGAGGAUCUACCUGUUUAUUCCUUGUGGCCU